rnacentral:rRNA from 1 species
AUGACGGGAUUGCUUGGCACGGUGAUUGAUGCAGCAAUAGGAUGGCUGGUGCAAAGCACCCUUGAGAGCUUCUUCACUGGGCAGAUGGAAGCCUGGACUCGUGAAAUCGGGAUUGCUGAAGAUGUGGAGAAGCUCAAAUUGCAGAUGAGGUAUGUGGAGAUGGUUCUUGCUGCUGCCAAGGGAAGGAGGAUUGACAACAUGCCUCUGGCCCAGUCACUAGAUGAUCUCAGAGAUCUGCUUUAUGACUCAGAGGACGUGAUGGAUGAGCUUGAUUACUACCGACUCGAGCAACAGAUAAAAGGAAAAGAUUGUAGUACUCUCAGUGACAGUGGCGCUAAUCCUGAGGGAAGCUAUGUGUCCUCAUCCAGUCCAUCUUCUGUUUUUGAAUUCGUAUACAAAGCCACAAGCCAAAUAACUAGUUGGGCCUUGUCCGGCAGAAAAAGGAAACGUGAAGAGGACCAGCCAGCUCAUAGCACCAUGCUACCUCUUGAGAUUAAACAUGACAUUUCUAAGAGGAUCAAUGUAAUAGUGGAUAAAUUAUGCACUAUAGGCAAUUCUGUGCAGAGAGUUCUCCAAGUCGAUAUCUCAUGUCCCAUUGCAACAUCAAGUGAGAGCCAGAAUACUGCUAGGAAUCCUCGCAUGACAACUUCUGUUCCAAUUGAAUCUAAGGUGUACGGGAGGGAUGCAGAGAGAGAUAAGAUAAUAAAGCUGCUGAUAAACGGGAAAUCUAGUGAUCUCAAUGUUUUGCCAUUAGUUGGCGUCAUUGGUGGUGUUGGGAAGACGACACUUGCCAGGUUUGUAUACCAUGAUCAAAGAAUUAUAGAUCAUUUUGAUCUUCAAAUUUGGGUUUGUGUGUCCACUGACUUUAAUGAAGUGAGGCUAACAAGUGAGAUCCUAGAGCAUGUGUGUGAAGAUAGACAAGAGUAUGAAAAAGUUAGCAAUCCAGAUGUGCUGCAGAACAUCCUUUUGAAAUAUAUUAGAUACAAAAGAUUUCUUCUCGUAUUGGACGAUAUGUGGGAAGAAAAAGACAGGAUUGGAUGGAUUAAUUUGCUGGCUCUGUUGAGAAAUAAUCAAGCAAUCGGCUGCAUGAUUUUAGCAACAACAAGAAGGAAAUCAGUCGCAAAAAUGAUAAGAACAAUGGCUGAUGUUAAAGUUAAUGGUCUGGAUAGCAAGAACUUCUGGCUUUUCUUCAGAGCUUGUGCAUUUGGUGAUGCGAGUUACGAGGGCAGUCCUAGUUUACAAUCUAUUGGGAAAGAGAUUGCCAAAGCACUAAAGGGCUGCCCAUUGGCUGCACGAAGUGUUGGUGCACUUCUAAAAACAGAUCGUAGAUAUCAGCAUUGGGUGACAGUUCGGGACAAAUGGAAAUCUCUUGAAGUUGCUGAUGAUAUUUUACCCAUCUUGAAGCUCAGUUAUGAUUAUCUACCGGUUCACCUUCAGCGUUGUUUCUUGUACUGCUCUUUGUUUCCAGAGGACUACCGGUUUUCUUGCAGAAAAUUGGUUCGUGAAGGCUCGUACCAUGUUAUGCAUGAUCUAAUGCAUGAAUUGGCAGGGAGGGUUUCAUCAAACGAGUGUGCUACUAUAGAUGGAUUGAAAUCUGAGGCAAUUCAACCAAGUGUUCGCCAUUUGUCAAUCAUAACUACUGCUUUUGAUACAGAUAAAUGUGGCAGUUUUCCCAUUGAGAAGUUUGACAAAAUACUUCAGAAGUCUGGGCCUUUGCAAAAAUUGAGGACCUUGAUGUUGUUUGGGAGAAGCAGCAUAAAUUUAUUAGGGUCCUUGCGUAUUUUAUGCAAGAAUGCAAAAUAUAUACGGUUCCUAAGAAUUUAUGUGACAUAUGCUGACAUCAGCUCUAUACACAGUUCGUUAAAUCCCUGCCAUCUUCGCUAUCUUGAAUUUAUUUGUGUGCGCACGAAGAAUAUUGCAGUAUAUGGAGUCUACAACAACACUGUGUUUCCUCAAGCAUUGACAAGAUUUUAUCACCUUCAAGUAUUGAAUGCGGGUAUUUCAUUUUCAGGCAAUCUUGCUUUGCCUUCUGAUAUGCAUAAUCUCGUUAAUUUGCGAUGUCUUAUUUCUCAUGAGAAAGUGCAGCAUGCAAUAGCUAGUGUUGGCAACAUGACCUCUCUCCGGGAACUAAGUUUCAAGGUUCAAAAUGUUGGCAGCUUUGAGAUAGGACAACUUCAGUCCAUGAAUGAGCUUGUAUAUCUUGAAAUUUCUCAACUUCAAAAUGUGAAGACAAAAGAAGAGGCUAGUGGGGCCAGACUGUUAGACAAAGAGUAUCUAGAAUUUUUGUCCUUAUCAUGGGAGGAUAGCAGUACGAACCUUGAGCAUGACACUGCAAAAGAUGUGCUUGAAGGUCUUCAACCACGUCAGAACCUGAAACUGUUAAAAAUAUCUGGAUAUGGCGGUGCUACCUCGCCAACCUGGCUUUCCAGUACUUUGUCAAUUACCUCACUGCAGGUACUUCAUCUAGAGAAGUGCAGGGAAUGGCAAGUUCUCACAUCUCUGGAAAUGCUUCCUUCCCUUAGGAAGCUGACACUGAUCAGGAUGUUGAAUUUAAUGGAAAUCUCAGUUCCUUCCUUGGAAGAGUUGAUUUUGAUUGAUCUGCCAAAAUUGGAAAAAUGUAUUGGUUCUUAUGGAAUGGAAUUGACCUCCCAUCCAAGGGUUUUGAUGAUCAAGAACUGCCCUCAACUGAAUGAGUUCUCUCUUUUUCAGAGUUACUCUUCUUUUGACGCUGAGCAGAAGUCAUGGUUUCCAUCUCUCAGGAAGCUCACCAUCAUGCGUUGUCCUCAUAUAAUUAACUGGGAAAUCCUUCCACUAAAAGAAAUGGGGGCGCUCAAGGAGUUGGAGUUGAUGGACCUGCAUGUUGUGAGAGAAUUGACAGUCCGUUCUCUGGAGAAGUUGGUGUUGAUUAAAAUGGCAAGCCUGGGAGUUUGCAACAGCCUAAAGACCUCUCCACCUCUGCAUAUUUUGCCUUCCCGAAGAGAUGAAAAUAAAUGGCGAUCUAGUCUGUGUAGACUCACCAUCCAUGAUUGCCCUUCUAUGAUGGUGUCACAUCCUCGUCGGCCUUGUGCCUUAAUUUCUGAGUUGUCCGUCAGGGGAGUUCCGACACUCCCAACAAUGAGGAUGAAUCAGAGACGGUUCAAAAUCGAAUCUAAUGAGUCCAGUGUGUUGCAUGGACGUGUCUUACCAUUUCAUAUUCUUAGGGGCAUAACAACGUUGCAGAUAGAAAAUUGUCCAAACCUGGUCUCUCUUUCAAGUGGGGGUAGCAGAGGUCUCACGGGAUUCACCUCUCUUACUGAGCUAGUCCUUGAUCGUUGCCCCAAGCUGGUUUCAUUGUUGGUGGGUGAAACGAAAGAUGAUGGUAUCAUGUUCCUCACCUCCCUUCGAAGCUUGGAUAUCAAGAUGAACCCCGAGCUGUCCUCUGAAUGGGAUCUCAAACUGCAGGAGCAAGAACAGGGUGGCAAUCAAAUUCAGCUGCUUCCUCCGUCACUUGACAAACUUGUGAUAAUGGCUCUCACGGACAGCUUCCAAUCUCAUCUUCUGCCCUGCCUCCCCUCCAUCACUGUAUUAAAAAUACAUAGAAGUCCAGAAUUGACGUCCCUACAGCUGAGAUGCUGCACGACACUGAAAGAGUUGGAAAUUGAAGAGUGUGUCUCGCUUGCAUCAGUCGAGGGCUUCCAGUUCAUUAGAAACCUGACAUCCCUGAAAGUAUCUGGCUCUCCCGGCGUAGCUUCCUGGUCGGAGCUUGUGUCGCACCAGCAAGGGGCCUCUGAGAUCUGGUCUGGACUGGAAACUCUUUGGAUUAGUGACGCAUCUGUCCUUUGCAUGCCCUUCUGCAAACAGCUGACAUCUUUAAGACACCUACAGUUUGGCUAUUGGGGUCGUAAACAAGGAGAGAGUGUAGUGAGCCUAACAGAAGAACAAGAGAAAGCGUUACAGCUUCUAACCUCACUCCAAGAACUUAAAUUUUUGAGAUGCCCGGAACUCUCAUCACUUCCUGCAAACCUACAUAGGCUGACCUCCCUCAAGACAUUAUCUAUCAUGCACUGUAAGAGCAUCACAAGGCUGCCAGACAUGGGCCUCCCAACUUCACUCAGGUGCCUUAAGUUAUACAAUUGCAGUGAGGAGCUAGGCAUACAGUGCAGAAUUGCAGCAACGGAGAAGCUAACGGUCAUGAUUGAUCAUCAGGAUGUGAAUUAA